rnacentral:sRNA from 1 species
UCUGUAGCGUCUCAACACUGUACAUAGGGAAAGGGUCUCUAUGACCUUGUUAUUCUAAACUUAGCCCAAUCGAUGCAGUCAUAUUUGUCUCUUGUUUGGACUUCUGGGAUGUGAGCUUUGGAGACUGAGGUCACUUACAGCUAUUGUAAUAAGGCACUGCUGUGUAUCACCAACCAUUGGUUCAUUGCUGCUUCCGCUAUGCAUCACGUACCAAACACCACCCUUGUGAAUGUGGGUUCUCCUCUCAUGGUCUGCUCAGCUUCCUGCCACUCCACCACCAGAGCCACAUGUGCCUCGGGGACAUCAGUAAGUACGCAGGAUGGGGGCGAGCACACUCUUACUCCAGAAUGAUCCUGUGCUGCCAGGAGCUGCUGAAUGAUAGUGGUAACACCAGAU